GACGAGCCUCACAAACGUUAUUCGGAAUUACUGGGCUUAAAGGGUGCGUAGGCGGCGCGGUAAGUCGGGUGUGAAAUCUCGGGGCUUAACUCCGAAACUGCAUUCGAUACUGCCGUGCUUGAGGACUGGAGAGGAGACUGGAAUUUACGGUGUAGCGGUGAAAUGCGUAGAUAUCGUAAGGAAGACCAGUGGCGAAGGCGGGUCUCUGGACAGUUCCUGACGCUGAGGCACGAAGGUCAGGGGAGCAAACGGG
rnacentral:rRNA from 1 species